CUUAUUUGAUUAAUGUAAGUCAAUAUGUAAUUGUACAAUAAGAAACAAAUUGCUUAAAAUACAGUUAUUUGCAUUCAGCAACCUAUUAUAUUCUGUGUCCAUCGCCUUUUUGUAGCUGCAGGAACAGGUGCCUCUUCAUUUAAGUACACUUUAUACUCCAUAUCCUUCAAAAAGAAACACGUCAGUGUUAUUUCUUUGUAAAUAUAAUAAAGAAUAUAUUUUUUGCAUUACCCGAAUAGCUUAAUCCAAAUGAGAACAUUUCCUAAAAAUGACUACAAUAACGAAUCUGGGUAUUUGACAAAAUUGACUUAGUUAAUUGGAAGACAUAUUUUAUUUUAGAAGGCUAUUUUUUUAAAGAAAAGAAAAGUUUGGUCGUAAAAGUCUUAUUGUUGUCUUUCACCCUGAAAAAGAAGCUCGUGUAAUUUACAUAAAGAACCGGUAAAUUAAUCUUUUCACUGAGGUGACGUGUUUCAUUGACGUCCACUUGCUUCGCGUAGCCGAUUCACGUGACAUCAUUGCACGUCAUUCAUCAACUGUCACUUUGUAUCGUGAAGAUUAGAAAUAAAUGAUCUGCACCGGACGAGACCGUGAGUCGCUGGCUGGCCUGGUUGCGUUAAAGAGAGCAAAGAUACCCUCAGGAGGAGGAUGUUUAGGCUAGAGGGGAAAAGAAAAAAUCAGCCAUGUUUGCAAAAUGAUGCAAAAAGAGUAGCAAAGAAAAAAAAAAAACGUACACUCCAACUCAUUCCCCAUCUCACUCCAAAACGUCCUCAUCAUCUGAUCAAGAGCCUCCAGUCAAACAUCAGGUCAUCCACCGAAAGGACAGUAUGUUAAUGCAAGAGAUUAACAGCAUGGAGAGUCAAGCUGGAGAGCAUUCAAGCCGAGAAACUCAACUUGAGAGAGAAAUUCUCAAAUUAAAAAAAAGAAAAUGAGAAUCUAAGAGCACUUAAUAUAGCUCUGCAACAAGAAAUUCUUCCAAUGCUCAAGUGCAGCAUGAACCAGGACACUCUUGUUGCUCAACAACCACAAGAUUCAAGUCAGAAGAAUCCCCCUGAAAAGACACAGGGGCUAGGAAUUAGUUCAGCUGUCCUGACAAGUUGUGGACGGGGGGGGCACAUCAUGUUCUGCCAUGGUGAAAGAUCUGGCAGUGGCAGUGUUUGGGAGAGAGACACUGGCCACACAUGGGCUGUCUGGAAGGGGCUGGCAAUGCUAACACAGGCGCUAUGGCAAAGCCAGCUCUUGACCAGGACAAAGUUGUGCUGAUCCUAGGUGAGAAAAAUGUCCUGCUUUUUUUCUUUACGCAAACAUGAUGUUGCAGUUAUAGUGCAAAAUUGUAAUAAUGUUAUCACAUAUGAUAAGUGGAAUUGCAUUUACAGACACAGUACAAAAAAAGUUCCCUGAUGUUCCAAAAAAGUUCAUCAGGGCAACACUAAGAGAAAAGUUAAAUGAUAAGCACAAGUUACGAGUAAGGUAAUAAUUUGUCAUACACACAACACACUCGCUCAUGCGCUUUCUCUCUCUCUCUCACCUCACACACCCUCAUGCUCUCUCACACACAAACACAUACUCAUGCUCUCCCUCUCUCUCUC